rnacentral:rRNA from 1 species
UACGGAGGGUGCAAACGUUGCUCGGAAUCAUUGGGCGUAAAGCGCACGUAGGCGGUCCAGCAAGUCGGGUGUGAAAGCCCUCGGCUUAACCGAGGAAGUGCAUUCGAAACUACUGGACUUGAAUACUGGAGAGGGUCGCGGAAUUCCCGGUGUAGAGGUGAAAUUCGUAGAUAUCGGGAGGAACACCAGUGGCGAAGGCGGCGACCUGGACAGAUAUUGACGCUGAGGUGCGAAAGCGUGGGGAGCAAACAGG